rnacentral:rRNA from 1 species
AGUGAACGCUGGCGGUAGGCCUAACACAUGCAAGUCGAACGACAGCACAGUAAGAGCUUGCUCUUACGGGUGGCGAGUGGCGGACGGGUGAGGAAUACAUCGGAAUCUACUUUUUCGUAGGGGAUCACGUAGGGAAACUUACGCUAAUACCGCAUACGACCUACGGGUGAAAGCAGGGGAUCUUCGGACCUUGCUCGAUUGAAUGAGCCGAUGUCGGAUUAGCUAGUUGGGGGGGUAAAGGCCCACCAAGGCGACGAUCCGUAGCUGGUCUGAGAGGAGGGUAGCCCACAUGGGAACGGAGACACGGUCCAGACUACUACGGGAGGCAGCAGUGGGGAAUAUUGGACAAUGGGCGCAAGCCUGAUCCAGUCAUACCGCGUGGGUGAAGAAGGCGUUCGGGUUGUAAAGCCCUUUUGUUGGGAAAGAAAAGCAGCAGGUUAAUACCCCGCUGUUCUGACGGUACCCAAAGAAUAAGCACCGGCUAACUUCGUG